rnacentral:lncRNA from 1 species
CAAGUUGCAAGAUACCACUGCUUCUUUUAAGAAUGAUGGGUUUCCCAGGUGAUACUUGAAAGAAGAGAUAAUGACCACCUAUCUCCUUCAUCCUGGUCACACAGGAAGGAGGCUAUGGACUCCUUUUGGCAUUUCUGCCUCAGCAACAGAGGAUAAAAGUCAUGUUGUGAUGGAUAAGUCACAAAAGUAAAAAAUACAGACGUGGACUACAGGCCUCCAAAGAAGAAUUGAGCAUGCUGAGGAUCGAUGCCAGACAUUGGACAUUUUUGAGGUGUUAAGAG